rnacentral:Y_RNA from 1 species
GGCUGGUCUGGAGGUAGUGAGUUAUCUCAAUUGAUUGUUCAGUCAAUUAUAGAUUGAACUGCUUGUUCUACUGCUUCCCCCUUCUCACUGUUACACUUGCUGGUCUUAA